rnacentral:lncRNA from 1 species
UAUAAAAUAAAAUAAUCCCAGAAAAAUAAUUAAAAUGGCCUUAUUACAACCCAAAACCAAAUAAUAAUAUUAAUAAGAUAAAAAUUAUAAAGAAAUAAAUCGGCUACUUAUUGCAAUUAAAAGAAACAGAAACAGUAGUGUGGCCAUCUCCGAGUCCUUCGCAGCUCCAAACCAUCUAAGCUUAGGGAUUACCUGCACAGUUAGAAACGGGGUGAGUUUACAAAAACUCAGUGUGUAAUCCCAAUAACAAACAAAUAGUAAAUAACACGGUAUCAGUACAAUCUGGGCCAAAGCCCUAUUUAGUCUUGACAUAUACUGGGCCGAAGCCUUUCGUUUAACGGUUACUGGGCCGAAGCCUUUACUGUAAACGGUAUGGCCCUUAGGCCCAUUUCAAUAUCACAUGUAAUGGCAAUGAAUGUAUGCAAGCCCAUUUCAAUAUCACAUGUAAUGUCAAUGAAUGUAUACAAGCCCAUUUGGGGAGACUACUCGACCCACCAUUCGCUACUCUCCACCCAUACCAACCAAGCUCUCUAUGCGGGGAAUAACUCAACCCACCCAACCAAACUCUCCACUGGCAGCAUAGCUGCUUUAUCAUAUAACUGGAGGCCUAGCCUCUUUUAAUAACUGGGGCAAAGCCCUUUCUGAUAAACUGGGGCAAAGACCUUUUGCAGUAAACUACGGUAGAGCCCUUUUAGCACUUCCUCCAUCAAUAUAACCCAUAUCCCAUGCAAUAUGUCAUGUAUGCAGAAUGUCAUGCCCAUAUUUGAAUCAAACAAUCACAGUGAAGUCAUUCAUAUUACCAACAUAUAUUCACAAUCAAAUCCAUCAACCAUACAGUCCAAGUCAAUCACUUGCCGACAAGGGCAAAAUAGUUAUUUUUCAUAUUAUAAGGGUAUUUUCGUAAUUUUACCAAAAAUCAAGGUUUUCCAUGUUCAUUACAGUUGUCAAUAUUUUCGAGUGUUUUUAACCCACUUAUCAAAUUCGGGCUUUUGGGCCCAAAACCCCUAAUGGGCCCUACGAAUGCUGAUUUAGCCCACUAAGCCUGCUUAACCCAAAUUUUACAAUAAUACUAACCGUGUUAACAUGCAACUUUUCCAAAUUCCAUUUUCUAUCAAUUUUACCCAAAUGGGCCCAAAAGCCUAUUUGGCCCAAUUCCUGCCCAUUGAGGCCCAACUUACCAUCGUGCACAAAAUUGAGUUCUUACCUGUUCCAUUGAUCUAAACACCAAUCUUAUCAUAUUUAUCACAUCUAUACCCAAACGCAACAUUACAAGUUCCUGAAAUACCGGUAUUUUAGCAUUUCGGCUUCUCAGCAAAUAUUAAUCUAAGCUAUUACGAGGGUUAGUACACACCUGUUAUGGGUUGAUAAUCAAUCACCUACGAUAACCACCACCUGUCACUCAAACUUAACUAAUCCAAUAUUAAUAUAUGUAAAUCCUAAGCACAUCAGUCAUACGGAACAUAAGGGCAUAUUCGUCAUUUUACCAUACAAGGGUAUUACGGUCACUUUACCCUACAAGGGCUUUACGGUCUUUUUACCUAUUAGGGGUAUUUUAGUCAUUUCAUCCUACAAGGGUGUUUUCGUAAAUCUACAAACCAAGGGUAUUUCAGUAAUUUUGUAAACCAAUGGUAUUUCUAUAAUUUUUAGAAAGUCAAGGAUAUUUCUAUAAUUUUGUAAAUCAGGGCUAUUUUGGUAAUUUUAAAAAUUGAGGGUAUUUCGGUAAUUUCACAAACCAAUGGUAUUUUGGUAAUUUCACAAACUAGGGGUAUUUUGGUAAUUUUACAAACUAGGGGUAUUUUGGUAAUUCUAUCCUAUAGGGGUAUUUCAAUAAUUUCACAAUCGAGGGUAAAAUGAUAAUUUUGUAAACUUAGGGUAAAAUGGUAAUUUUGUAAAUAAAGGGUAAAACGGUAAUUCUGUAAAUCGAGGGUAAAAUAGUAAUUCUAUAAAUCGAGGGUAAAACGGUAAUUUUGUAAACUGAGGGUAAAAUGGUAAUUUUGUAAAUCGAGGGUAAAAUGGUAAUUCUAUAAAUCGAGGGUAAAAUGGUAAUUUUAUUAAUCGAGGGUAAAACGGUAAUGUUGUAAACUGAGGGUGAAACGGUAAUUGUAUAAAUCGAGGAUAAAAUGAUAAUUCUACAAAUCGAGGGCAUUUCAGUAAUUUGGUAAACUAAAGUAUUCUAAACAUGGAUAACAAUACGAAUGGGCCUAAAGCCUAUUCUCGGCCCAAAUAGGCCCACACACUCGUAUGGCCCUUUUAGCCCAAAUCUAGUGACAAAUAUGUGAUUCACCUAGCCUAGUCCAAUAUUUACUACACAAUCAAACAACUUAUCCAAUUGGGCCCGUAGGCCCAUUAGGCCCAUAUGACCCUUUUCGGCCCAUCGCUGCCCGAAGUAGCCAUCCUACAGCUAGAGUAGCGAGAAAAUACACACCUGAUAGGAGACUGGAGUUAAUCCAUGCUCCGAGCACUCUUAGCCGACGCCCAACCCAAACGAGCACGCCAUACAGCGAAAGGGAUCA